rnacentral:rRNA from 1 species
CCUACGGGUGGCUGCAGUGAGGAAUAUUGGUCAAUGGGCUUACGCCUGAACCAGCAAAGUCGCGUGAGGGAAGACGGCCCUAUGGGUUGUAAAUCUCUUUUGUCAGGGAGCAACGCCGGCUACGUGUAGCCGGACUGAGAGUACCUGAAGUAAAAGCAUCGGCAAACUUCGGGUCAGCAGCAGCGUUAUUACGGAGGAUUCGGGCGUUAUCGGGAUUUAUGGGGUUAAAAGGGUGCGUAGGCGGAAUGCCAAGUCAGCGGUAAAACCGCGGGGCUCAACCUCGAUCCGCCGUUGAGACUGGCGUUCUAGAGUGUGCGAGAAGUAGGCGGAAUGCGUGGUGUAGCGGUAAAAUGCGUAGAGAUCAAGAAGAACUCCGAUUGCGAAGGCAACAUACCGGAGCCCAACUGACGCUGAUGCACGAAAGCGUGGGUAUCAAACAGGAUUAGAUACCCUGGUAGUC